ACAACUUUCAGCGACGGAUAUCUCGGCUCAGGCACCUAUGAAGGGCGCAGCGAAAGCGAUAGUCUUUGUGAAUUGCAGAUCUCCGUGAACCAAUGGCCCCCUGAACGCGCAUUGCACUCUUGGGACUUCCUGAGAGUAUGUUUGCUUCAGUGCUU
rnacentral:rRNA from 1 species